AAAUCUUGAGCAACUCACCCAUCUUUGUGUUCAACUUGUUGUGUAGGUCACGUAAUCUGAUUUUUUUUUUUUUUAAUCAUAUUAACAAACUAAUCAAGUUUGGCUGAUGUGUUGCAUGCAAAUAUAUAUUCUCAUAUGAUGCAUCAAAUGCAUGUUGAUCAUAUCGAACUGAAUAAAAGAGGAAAUGUACAAAAGCAUACUUAUUAAGACCGUGGGCAAAACAAGGGGCGAUCCACUGUUCUUCUUAUCUAAUAUUCUUU
rnacentral:lncRNA from 1 species